GUUUUGUAGAUCAAACGGACUCCGUUGGCCAAGUAUUUACCCCAUUUUGGUUUACGAAAUUGAAUCCGUAGCGAUUUUUUACUUUAAUUUUUCUCUCUACAACUCAGCUUACCUAACAACUUUUUCUAUAUCGCUAAUUUUUGUACUUAUAGCGAAUAGCGACACAGAAAAAAGUUGUACAGCUGAGUUGUAGAGAAUUUUAAGGUGAACAGUCUUUUCUCUGACGCUUUUUUCAAGAUUUUGGUAAAAAGAGCUUAAAAUAAAUUUUUUUUAUUUUUUUGACUUGUUACUUUUUAAUAUUCAGAAUACCAACUUUUACCUAGGAUGAAUAGAAGUCGAGAUAUUUAAUAAAAACUAAAAUGCAAGAUGGUUGUUUAAAGGUGAAUUUAAAGGUGAAUUUCACGAGCACUGGACUAAAAAUCAAAAUUAAGAUGAUCUAUCAACAAGGUCGAGUUCCAGGAACUUAUCACUAUCUUAGAUAUGAAAGCCAGUAACCUCACACUUAAAGCGUUAGCAAUUUAAAGACAGCAACCCAAGUGUCCAGAGGCUAAAUCCACUUUGUCAUAUUGAAGAAUGAUAUCAAGUCUCAGAUCUUGGAUUCUGAGGUCUUACAAAAAUCACCACAUGAUUUGCUUCACAAAAAAUUCACAUUACACCUUUGAACCAUCAGUGUCAAAGUUUCUUGUGUGCCCUCUUCAAUUUUCAACAAUGUUUUUUAAUAGAAGCUUCUUUUAUUUUUAGUUCCAGUUGAAUUUAGUGUCCAGAAUGUCACCUAAGGACAAGAAUGGAAAUGUGUUCUGGGGAAGGGCUCCCAACUGAAGAAUUUCUUGAAUAUUGUUCCUUUUUCCGAAGAAUUUUGGUUGGGUGACUUACUCUGGAACACAUUUCCCACGCAGUGGCAGAUUAACCAGCAGCUUAGUAGGCUCGAGGCUAGGGCGGCAGAUUUUGGGACUGAAAAUUUGACGACUUAUGUACACCAGCUAUGAGUUGCUCUGAUGAGAGAAGCUUUUCUGGUCUAAAAUGGGUACAAAAUAACCUGAAAUCGAUCUUGUGCCAAGAAAAAUUAAACGCAUUAGGUGUUAUAUGCAUAGAGUCGGAAAUAAUGAACAAGAUUACUAACGAUGACAUCAUUGAAGAUUUUAGCAACAAAAAAAGCACAAAAAGACAGUUUAACGAACUUUUAUAACUUGACAAAGUAAGAAUAUUCGUCGAAAUUGAUGCUAUCAACAUGCAACGUUUGAAGGCUCUGAAACUUGCAUAAUCUAUAACUUCUUCUGAACCGAUUCACCCUGUAUUAUAAUUUGUGAAUGUAGAUAGGUAUUUUUGUUUAAAUACAUAUUUUGCCUGAAGCCAAACAUUGAUUCCAACAAACGAACCUGGUAAUGAGCUUAUGGUAGGUACCUCUACUCGUAGUUAUUUUUCGCAUUCGCCUCUUCCUAACUCUUCACAAAACUAAGUUAGGUAUUAGGAUUACAAACUUUAUUUAUGAAUCAAAGAAUAAUAUAAAUUCUGUUUAAUAUCUUGUAAGUGGAUAUAACUUCAUUAAAAAAGGAUUUUAGGUA